rnacentral:rRNA from 1 species
UACGUAGGGGGCAAGCGUUGUCCGGAAUUAUUGGGCGUAAAGAGCGCGUAGGCGGUCCGAUAAGUCGGCUGUGAAAGUCAGGGGCUCAACCCUUGGAAGCCGGCCGAUACUGUCGGACUAGAGUCCGGAAGAGGCGAGUGGAAUUCCCGGUGUAGCGGUGAAAUGCGCAGAUAUCGGGAGGAACACCAAUGGCGAAGGCAGCUCGCUGGGACGGUACUGACGCUGAGGCGCGAAAGCGUGGGGAGCAAACAAG